UUGAUCAGCGGGUUGCGUGCCGAGUAACUCUCGCUGUGCGGUGGUGCGUCUCGGGCCUCACGGUUCGUUGCGUGCUCGUGUGGCGUUGGAUGCCUUGGAUCACACUGCACCCCAAGUCCGCCGCUCAUGCUAUAACUCUUCUUAGAGGGAUUCACGGCACUGAAGCCGUAAGAGACUGAGAGCAAUAACAGGUCUGUGAUGCCCUUAGAUGCUCUGGGCCGCACGCGCGCUACAAUGCCGGGCACAGCAGGUGUUUCUCCUGCUCCGACAGGAGCGGGUAACCCUCUGAAAGCCAGUGUUCUUGCAAGUGCUUCCUCCCUCGUGGAGUUGCACAGAGGCGUGCUUGGGCCUGGGACUUGCAAUUCUUUCCCACCAACGAGGAAUGCCUAGUAGCGGCGGGUCACUGAGCCCGCCGUGACUCAGUCCCUGCCCUUUGUACACACCGCCCGUCGCUACUACCGAUUGGGUGUACCAGUGAGAGCCUUGGACUGGCGUCCGUUGUUGCUCGCAAGAGUGACAAGCGGGUCCGACGGAAAGAGGUCCGAA
rnacentral:rRNA from 1 species